GUCCCUAUCGUCUAGAGGCCUAGGACACCGCCCUUUCACGGCGGCAACAGGGGUUCAAAUCCCCUUGGGGAUG
rnacentral:tRNA from 1 species